rnacentral:misc_RNA from 1 species
GAUUUCACGGAUACUUUGUGCAAAAUCUGGUGGUUAUCUCACUUUUGGCACCCUUGAGUCAGGAAUAGUUUCAGCUCCUGGUCAACCAACAAUAAAGGAUCUGCUGGAUCUAUACAAUUUCAGGCAAAUUGGACCCGAUACAAAAGUACAUGGCAUUAUCGGGAAGCCUAUUGGCCAUAGCAAAUCACCUUUUCUAUAUAAUGAAGCAUUCAAGUCAAUUGGCUUCAAUGGGGUGUUUGUGCAUUUGUUAGUGGAUGACAUUGCCAAAUUUUUCCAGACUUUCUCAUCCACAGAUU